AGACUUGAGAGCCUCUGUUGGUUUUAGGUGGUUUAGUUGUUACCACUCCUUCCCUAAAGAAAAUUACAUAUCAAUCUGGAAUAAUAUAUCUACCGAUAAAUGAAAGAGUGUUGAAAUUUAUUUUGACCCUACUGAAAAAAAAAUCGUGUACCUACUUCGGAUUUCGUUUGAAGUUCAUUAGGAUUGGCUAAUCAAUAAGAGAGAUUGAGAAGUUAAUUUUAACCCUAGCGAUGACGACAUGGGAUGUCUGGCCUGGCCUCCUUUCUCAAUUUGCUUUUCUUUCCACACAUGUAAACCAUGGAACGUUACAUUCUACAGCUAAUUCAGAUUGGCCAACAACUGAGAGAAAUUGCAACUGGCAACUGGCAUCCUUUGGCCCAUGCUUACUGAAAAGACAAGUAGUUUCCUAUGGUAUUUUAGCUGUUCAUCUUUGAGGCUCUUGUAGUUAAUUAAGGAAUAUUGGAAGAACUUCGGAUACCAUUAAAUUAUAGAACACUGAUUGCAUUAGGUCUAUUUAGUCCCAGACAGUAGCUUUACUUAUGGUCCGAAAGAAAGCAUGAAAGUUCCUUUUUCCCAUGGGAACGGGGAAAGGAUUUAUAACAUUGAAUUGAUUGUCCAACAAAUAAGAAGGGAUUGCAGUUAAUUUGAUGCUACUGAAACAGUCCAUAAAUUUGACAUCUUCACUUUGCAACAUUAUGCAGAUAAUUUUUGCGGUAACAAUGGGAGGCAAUCGAAAAUUAAUUUGGAAGCAACUGAAACAACAAUUGUCUGCAGUAGUAUCCCUCCUAGAUUUGGUUUACUCAUCAUAUUGGUAGACUUUAUAACGCCAUUUUCUACAAUUAAUUAAGGUUAUCCAACAAAUGAGAGAGAAUAAAUGUCCAGUUUGGUUUUACUGAAACAGCCAUGGGUGUUGUCUUUCGUGAAUUAUAUUCUUGAUUUGCUGUUUCGUCUUCGCUUUGUAGCACACUGCAGUUAAUUUUCAACCCAUGAGGGAGAGCAACUGGAUAUUUAUUUGAAUUCCACUGAAACAACAAAUUCUCUACUACGGUGUUCCUCCUGGAGUUGGUUUGCUUUUUACACCGAUAAACUUUGGUUCUACAAUUAAUUAAGAUCGACGUUGGAGAAGACAAAGAUGACCCCAUAGUUGAAAUCUUGCAUGUUCUAUCUAGAAUUCAUUAAGUUGGUUUUAUUGAAAUUAAUUUUUUAUUUUGCAUGUUUUUUAUAGUUAAUUUGAAUUAGUU